AGCCUGGGUCCCUGAAUCACUACAUGGAGGAGAGCUCCCCGUACGUAGACUAGGAAUUGCCUCAUUGGACUAUUCUGUGAGCAAUAUGGGGAAAGUCUGUCAUGUGAAGGCACUGAUAUUUGGGAUUCAUUUGUUAUAGAAGCUGGUGUUACCCUGGCUUUGAUGGGCCUGACCAGGCAUCUCAGCAAACCAGAUAGUGCCCAUGUUGGCACUGGCACAGGACAGGCUCUUCACCCUUCCACUCGCCACCGCCAUGCCCCAGGAGCAAAAGUCACAUCCAGAUGCUGUCUUGGAAAGGAGGAGGAAAUGUCCUGGAGAAGAAAGUGGAUACAGACUCUGCCCUCAGGGAGCUUCUCCCAACAGAGAAGCGAGGAGGGGGCCGGCGGAAAACAUCAUAUUAUCAGCCUGCGCCCAGGGCGCAUGGCCAGCCUUGUUGCACCUGCUGCUCAGGGGCUCAGCCCAGAGUGCUCAGUGUCCGGACACGAGCAUUGGCGAUCACCCGCGAGGCCGCCAGACCCGCAGAGAGU